UACGGAGGGGGCUAGCGUUGUUCGGAAUUACUGGGCGUAAAGCGCGCGUAGGCGGCUUUGUAAGUUAGAGGUGAAAGCCCGGGGCUCAACCCCGGAACUGCCUUUAAGACUGCAUCGCUUGAAUCCAGGAGAGGUGAGUGGAAUUCCGAGUGUAGAGGUGAAAUUCGUAGAUAUUCGGAAGAACACCAGUGGCGAAGGCGGCUCACUGGCCUGGUAUUGACGCUGAGGUGCGAAGGCGUGGGGAGCAAACAGG
rnacentral:rRNA from 1 species